rnacentral:rRNA from 2 species
CUUUAACACUGAGGCGUGAUGACGAGGCACUACGGUGCUGAAGCAACAAAUGCCCUGCUUCCAGGAAAAGCCUCUAAGCAUCAGGUAACAUCAAAUCGUACCCCAAACCGACACAGGUGGUCAGGUAGAGAAUACCAAGGCGCUUGAGAGAACUCGGGUGAAGGAACUAGGCAAAAUGGUGCCGUAACUUCGGGAGAAGGCACGCUGACACGUAGGUGAAGUGAUUUACUCACGGAGCUGAAGUCAGUCGAAGAUACCAGCUGGCUGCAACUGUUUAUUAAAAACACAGCACUGUGCAAACACGAAAGUGGACGUAUACGGUGUGACGCCUGCCCGGUGCCGGAAGGUUAAUUGAUGGGGUCAGCGCAAGCGAAGCUCCUGAUCGAAGCCCCGGUAAACGGCGGCCGUAACUAUAACGGUCCUAAGGUAGCGAAAUUCCUUGUCGGGUAAGUUCCGACCUGCACGAAUGGCGUAAUGAUGGCCAGGCUGUCUCCACCCGAGACUCAGUGAAAUUGAACUCGCUGUGAAGAUGCAGUGUACCCGCGGCAAGACGGAAAGACCCCGUGAACCUUUACUAUAGCUUGACACUGAACAUUGAGCCUUGAUGUGUAGGAUAGGUGGGAGGCUUUGAAGUGUGGACGCCAGUCUGCAUGGAGCCGACCUUGAAAUACCACCCUUUAAUGUUUGAUGUUCUAACGUGGACCCGUAAUCCGGGUUGCGGACAGUGUCUGGUGGGUAGUUUGACUGGGGCGGUCUCCUCCUAAAGAGUAACGGAGGAGCACGAAGGUUGGCUAAUCCUGGUCGGACAUCAGGAGGUUAGUGCAAUGGCAUAAGCCAGCUUGACUGCGAGCGUGACGGCGCGAGCAGGUGCGAAAGCAGGUCAUAGUGAUCCGGUGGUUCUGAAUGGAAGGGCCAUCGCUCAACGGAUAAAAGGUACUCCGGGGAUAACAGGCUGAUACCGCCCAAGAGUUCAUAUCGACGGCGGUGUUUGGCACCUCGAUGUCGGCUCAUCACAUCCUGGGGCUGAAGUAGGUCCCAAGGGUAUGGCUGUUCGCCAUUUAAAGUGGUACGCGAGCUGGGUUUAGAACGUCGUGAGACAGUUCGGUCCCUAUCUGCCGUGGGCGCUGGAGAACUGAGGGGGGCUGCUCCUAGUACGAGAGGACCGGAGUGGACGCAUCACUGGUGUUCGGGUUGUCAUGCCAAUGGCACUGCCCGGUAGCUAAAUGCGGAAGAGAUAAGUGCUGAAAGCAUCUAAGCACGAAACUUGCCCCGAGAUGAGUUCUCCCUGAGACUUAGAGUCUCCUGAAGGAACGUUGAAGACGACGACGUUGAUAGGCCGGGUGUGUAAGCGCAGCGAUGCGUUGAGCUAACCGGUACUAAUGAACCGUGAGGCUUAACCUUACAACGCCGAAG